GGUACUCUUAAGCUAAAAGCUAGAAAACUUCCCCUGAGACUCUCCCUCCCCACAUACAUGUGACUUGGCUGGCAGGUCCAAUCCCACAGGACAAGGUGGGGCGGGGCUGAGGUCUGGGCCCAGGGCUCCAGGAACACAUAGACUUGGCUUUCUCUCUCAUGCCAGCUUCCACCCCACCUCCACAGCCCUUGGGUCUCCCAUUUCCUCCCUGCUUGCCUUUGCCUCCCUCUUGCCCUGCUGAGGGGCAGCCUGGGGUCUUAUCAGGGAAGCCAAAGCUGUCAAGAGAAUGAAGGGGGUGGGGAGGAAGCAGGAGGUGGGCACUGCAGGGCAGGAGCACCGGUAGGAAACCAGGGCGCAGCUGCUGGCUCACGGAGGCUGCUUCAGCGCGGAGUGCACAGUGGAAGAAGCUGAGACUCAGAGAAAUGAUCCAAAUUAACUCGCCUGUGGCUAAUGCAGCUUCUGACAGAAAUGCAAUCCCAGGCCUGAGGCUCCCGAGCCGGACUCUUAACUGUCCCAGGUGGAGAGAAGGGAUCCGUGGGGUUCAGGGGCGCCAGGCCAGCGUCACGCAGCCACACCGGGCCUGUGGCGCAGUCCGCAGGGACCAGUUGGAGGUGAAGGGGAGGAAACGCUGACUUCAAACCGGGUUCCCGUCUUUAAGGUGAAGCUGCUAGAGCUCAGAGAAGUGAA